GGGACAUAAGCUACUGUGAUAUAAUAGAGUGUGUAAUGUGGUGAGUGUCAUAAAGACACACAAAUAAAGUGCUGUCAUAGGAGAGAAUGAUCAUUUUGAGUUUGGGGAUACAGGGAAGGUUUCAGGGAGGGGCUGAAAUAGCUACACUUUCAGCAAGAGAAGGGUGCGGGGAAUUUGGGAACGAUAGGAGCAAAGGCAAGACAGUGGUGGGAAGGGCAGCUAUGUUCCAGCACCAGUGGGUAAACCUGGGCAGAGGUCGUUGCGUGUGGUUUCGAGAGCAGUAAGACGGAAGGUCUGAUUCCGGUUAGAUGAUGUGCAGCCUUGAAUGGCAGCCUAGAACAGCGCAUUUGCCGAUUCCAGGGCCUCUCUUCCUCUCCUGGAUGGUGCCAACUAGAAGCCACCUGGAGCAGACAAUGUUUUUGCUAUUCCACGGCCAAGUCCCACUUCCUUCCCAAAGGAACCCCGACUUUGUCCUGGCACCACCCUCCUCCGCCUAGGUACAGGCUUCGGGGAGGAGAGUCCCAUCCACAGCCCUGGAGAAAGCUAUUCCUGCCACAGCUUCAGAUGUCCAACAAUAUCAACAGAAAAGAUAAAAAUAUCACAAAACUUCUUCCUCCCAGCAUCCAAAUUUCAGUGGAUUUUCUCUGCUUGAGCCUCACGCAUCCUUCUUAUUCCUAUCCUUGAUGCUGAGGGCUGGGGCCAGGAAUCUUGAUUGACAACUCCCCAGAAACACCUGGAAGAAGACAGAGCAAUUUCCUCAAAGAUCUAAGAGGAUUGAACAAAAAUCUGUAUACAUCAUCUAAUUAAAUAAAACUAAUUACACUUUAUCUUGGUUGAUGUAAUUUAUUGUCAGCAUGAAUUGCUUCAGCCAUUUUUCCGCAACCCAUAAGAUUUGAGCUUGAUGGUGUCUUGUCUUCACUUCUGAACUGCUGCAAGUGACGAGGUUAUGGCUUCGCUGGGACAAUGCCUCGGUCUGUCUCUGGGCUGUGUGGACGGAACUGCACGUUCUGGAUCCUCUGGAGAUGCGUGUUCGCUGACUUCUUGUCACGCCCACAGAUGACUGGUCUCGUAUGUUACCUUCUUGAUUUCUCUCUAUUUCACUCCAGGAUAAUCUUCCAACAAUGCUGUCACCCUUAGGAACUGAACUAAAUAUUUCAAUUCAAACUGAAAUCCACAUUUCUAUUUCCUUGACCUUUUGACCUCCAUCAUCUCUGUUACUUAUCUUCA
rnacentral:lncRNA from 1 species